CAAUAGCGUAUAUUAAAGCUGUUGCGGUUAAAAAGCUCGUAGUUGGAUUUCUGUCAAGGACAACUGGUCCGCCCCUCGGGUGAGCACAUAGUUUGGUCUUGGCAUCUUGUUGGAAACUGUUGCUGCACUUGGUUGUGUGGCGCGGUGUCCAGCACUUUCACUUUGAGGAAAUUGGAGUGUUUCAAGCAGGCACAUGCCUUUGGACACAGUAGCAUGGAAUAAUUAGAUUGGGCUUUUGCUCCAACUUGUCGGUUUCUGGAGCUGAGGUGAGAAUUAAUGGGGAUUGUUGGGGGCAUCCGAAUUUAGCCGUCAGAGGUGAAAUUCUUGGAUCUGCUAAAGACGGACAACUGCGAAAGCGUUUGCCCAGGAUGUUUUCAUUGA
rnacentral:rRNA from 1 species